rnacentral:rRNA from 1 species
UAUUUAUUAGAUAAAAAACCAAUGCCCUUCGGGGCUCCUUGGUGAAUCAUAAUAACUUAACGAAUCGCAUGGCCUUGCGCCGGCGAUGGUUCAUUCAAAUUUCUGCCCUAUCAACUUUCGAUGGUAGGAUAGUGGCCUACCAUGGUAUCAACGGGUAACGGGGAAUUAGGGUUCGACUCCGGAGAGGGAGCCUGAGAAACGGCUACCGCAUCCAAGGAAGGCAGCAGGCGCGCAAAUUACCCAAUCCCGACACGGGGAGGUAGUGACAAUAAAUACUGAUACAGGGCUCUUUUGGGUCUAGUAAUUGGAAUGAGUACAAUUUAAAUCCCUUAACGAGGAACAAUUGGAGGGCAAGUCUGGUGCCAGCAGCCGCGGUAAUUCCAGCUCCAAUAGCGUAUAUUAAAGUUGUUGCAGUUAAAAAGCUCGUAGUUGAACCUUGGGCCUGGCUGGCCGGUCCGCCUCACCGCGUGUACUGGUCCGGCCGGGCCUUUCCUUCUGGGGAACCUCAUGCCCUUCACUGGGCGUGUUGGGGAACCAGGACUUUUACUUUGAAAAAAUUAGAGUGUUCAAAGCAGG